GAUGCAGCCAUGCCGCGUGUGUGAAGAAGGCCUUCGGGUUGUAAAGCUCUUUCAGCAAGGAGGAAAGGGUGUAAGUUAAUACCUUGCAUCUGUGACGUUACUUGCAGAAGAAGCACCGGCUAACUCCGUGCCAGCAGCCGCGGUAAUACGGAGGGUGCGAGCGUUAAUCGGAAUUACUGGGCGUAAAGCGUACGCAGGCGGUUUGUUAAGCGAGAUGUGAAAGCCCCGGGCUUAACCUGGGAACUGCAUUUCGAACUGGCAGGCUAGAGUGUGAUAGAGGGUGGUAGAAUUUCAGGUGUAGCGGUGAAAUGCGUAGAGAUCUGAAGGAAUACCGAUGGCGAAGGCAGCCACCUGGGUCAACACUGACGCUCAUGUACGAAAGCGUGGGGAGCAAACAGGAUUAGAUACCCUGGUAGUCCACGCCGUAAGCGAUGUCUACUAGGAGCUCGGCUUUUCGGAGCUGUUUUCCAAAGCAAACGCAUUAAGUAGACCGCCUGGGGAGUACGGCCGCAAGGUUAAAACUCAAAUGAAUUGACGGGG
rnacentral:rRNA from 1 species